UGGCAAUGAUGAUAAAAGGCCGAACUUACGGCUGCCACCAUAUGGUUGGUAGUAGAUUGAUUAAUGUUUAGGCAAGGUAUUUUUCUGAGCCAG
rnacentral:snoRNA from 1 species